GGGCCUCUAGCUCAAUUGGUUAGAGCAGCGGACUUUUAAUCCGUUGGUUGUGGGUUCGAGUCCCACGGGGCCUACCA
rnacentral:tRNA from 3 species